UAAGGAGCUUGCUCCUUUGACGUUAGCGGCGGACGGGUGAGUAACACGUGGGUAACCUACCUAUAAGACUGGGAUAACUUCGGGAAACCGGAGCUAAUACCGGAUAACAUUUGGAACCGCAUGGUUCUAAAGUGAAAGAUGGUUUUGCUAUCACUUAUAGAUGGACCCGCGCCGUAUUAGCUAGUUGGUAAGGUAACGGCUUACCAAGGCGACGAUACGUAGCCGACCUGAGAGGGUGAUCGGCCACACUGGAACUGAGACACGGUCCAGACUCCUACGGGAGGCAGCAGUAGGGAAUCUUCCGCAAUGGGCGAAAGCCUGACGGAGCAACGCCGCGUGAGUGAUGAAGGGUUUCGGCUCGUAAAACUCUGUUAUUAGGGAAGAACAAACGUGUAAGUAACUGUGCACGUCUUGACGGUACCUAAUCAGAAAGCCACGGCUAACUACGUGCCAGCAGCCGCGGUAAUACGUAGGUGGCAAGCGUUAUCCGGAAUUAUUGGGCGUAAAGCGCGCGUAGGCGGUUUCUUAAGUCUGAUGUGAAAGCCCACGGCUCAACCGUGGAGGGUCAUUGGAAACUGGGAAACUUGAGUGCAGAAGAGGAAAGUGGAAUUCCAUGUGUAGCGGUGAAAUGCGCAGAGAUAUGGAGGAACACCAGUGGCGAAGGCGACUUUCUGGUCUGUAACUGACGCUGAUGUGCGAAAGCGUGGGGAUCAAACAGGAUUAGAUACCCUGGUAGUCCACGCCGUAAACGAUGAGUGCUAAGUGUUAGGGGGUUUCCGCCCCUUAGUGCUGCAGCUAACGCAUUAAGCACUCCGCCUGGGGAGUACGACCGCAAGGUUGAAACUCAAAGGAAUUGACGGGGACCCGCACAAGCGGUGGAGCAUGUGGUUUAAUUCGAAGCAACGCGAAGAACCUUACCAAAUCUUGACAUCCUUUGAAAACUCUAGAGAUAGAGCCUUCCCCUUCGGGGGACAAAGUGACAGGUGGUGCAUGGUUGUCGUCAGCUCGUGUCGUGAGAUGUUGGGUUAAGUCCCGCAACGAGCGCAACCCUUAAGCUUAGUUGCCAUCAUUAAGUUGGGCACUCUAGGUUGACUGCCGGUGACAAACCGGAGGAAGGUGGGGAUGACGUCAAAUCAUCAUGCCCCUUAUGAUUUGGGCUACACACGUGCUACAAUGGACAAUACAAAGGGCAGCUAAACCGCGAGGUCAUGCAAAUCCCAUAAAGUUGUUCUCAGUUCGGAUUGUAGUCUGCAACUCGACUACAUGAAGCUGGAAUCGCUAGUAAUCGUAGAUCAGCAUGCUACGGUGAAUACGUUCCCGGGUCUUGUACACACCGCCCGUCACACCACGAGAGUUUGUAACACCCGAAGCCGGUGGAGUAACCAUUUAUGGA
rnacentral:rRNA from 1 species